rnacentral:rRNA from 1 species
AAGUUCCGACCUGCACGAAUGGCAUAACAAAGGAACCGCUGUCUCAACGUAGGGCUCGGCGAAAUUGUGGUGCAAGUGAAGACGCUUGCUACGCGCAGCAAGACGAAAAGACCCCGUGGAGCUUUACUGUAUCUUGUUAUUGAACUACGGUUUUGAAUGCGUAGGAUAGGUGGGAGCCUGUGAACUUCGGGUUUUGGCCCGAGGGGAGGCGACGGUGAAAUACCACCCUUUUAAAAUUGUGGUUCUAACUUGGAGCCGUUAAUCCGGCACAAGGACAGUGGCAGGUGGGCAGUUUGACUGGGGCGGUCGCUUCCUAAAAGGUAACGGAGGCGUUCAAAGGUUCCCUCAGGGCGUAUAGAAAUCGCCUGUUGAGCGCAAGGGCAGAAGGGAGCUUGACUGUAAGGUUGACAGACCGAGCAGGUACGAAAGUAGGACCUAGUGAUCCGGUGGUUCCGAAUGGAAGGGCCAUCGCUCAACGAAUAAAAGCUACCCCGGGGAUAACAGGCUAGUCGGAUCCAAGAGUCCACAUCGACGAUCCGGUUCGGCACCUCGAUGUCGGCUCAUCGCAUCCUCCCGCUGAAGCAGGUGGGAAGGGUUGGACUGUUCGUCCAUUAAAGCGGUACGUGAGCUGGGUUCAGUACGUCGUGAGACAGUACGGUCUCUAUCUGCUGCGCGCGCAGGGAACUUGAGGGGAGCUGACCACAGUACGAGAGGACCUGGUUGGACAAACCUCCUGUGUACCAGCUGUCCUGCCAAGGGCAUAAGCUGGGUAGCGGAUGUUUGGAAGGGAUAAGCGCUGAAAGCAUCUAAGUGCGAAACCCACCCCAAGAUAAGGUUCCCCAUCCUUUAUGGAGUAAGGACCCCUGUGGACCACAGGGUUGAUAGGGCGGAGGUGUAAGCAGGGUAACCUGUUGAGCUAACCGCUACUAAUCGUCCGAGGGCCUGGCCUUA